CCAAUAAGGUUUUUUCCUCUCUUUUCCGCCGUGGGAGUUGAAGGAGAAACCCUCCAUUUAGUUCUCUGCUGUGAGGGUUGAAGGAUUAACCUUCUUUUUCUCCGCCUUCAAGCAAAAUUCAGUGUCAACUUCUUUCAUCCUUCGACCGAUUCCAAUCGCUGCAAUGACUCCGAUGACGGCACCAGGAUCAACAAGAAAUCUGGUGGCAUAAGAUUUUCUAUGUGACAACCAGAGCCAAAUUUCGAACUUGAUGAGACAAUGCCUCAUAGGACGCGACCACUGACGGCGCUUUUAGUGUUUUUAGGAGUGAAUGUUGCUUUAGUGUCUACAAUUACUCCUGUCUAUGACUUUGUUUGCUUCCAUCCUUAUUGGGAGAGACGGGGUCAGCUUAAGACCUUCAAGUUGGAGGUGGCCUAGCAUUCACUACUGAGGUCGCAUCUUUUGCAUAACUUGGUGGACCUCUGCCUGAGCCUAGCUUCCAUUAAGAGGGAAUCGCGCUGUAAAGAAUGGGAACCUGCUAAUGAAAAGAACGCAGACACUGGUUGAAGGGAUCAUAUCAAUCUUUUUUUGCUGCUUUCAUUUAUUUGCUUCCACCAAAUGAUUUUGAUGUUGUUUAGGUUAAACAGCUUUAGUUAUUGAAAACCAGCUUUAGAUAAACCCAUGAAUCAUCAUCUAUAUGAAGCACAUUUUCACAUAA